GUUACCUGCUCAUGGUCUUCAGAGGUUAAGCUGUGAGACAACCAUUAUCCUUAGCCCAGAGCUAUCAUCUCCUAUGGGAUAUGGAAGCACAUCUGAUGGCCUGGAACUAUGAGGUUUUCUUCUGUGAACCUUGUAAAACCAACCUACAACCUAAUAGGAAAGGGGUUGGAAGCCAUCAUUCCUUAUCUCCAGAAGCCUGAGUUCUGAUAGAUGCAUAUAGGAACUCUUCUGUUCAUCUGCAUCACAGGGGCACAGGGAUCCCUUCCACCACCCUGGCAGACAAAAGCAAGGCAAGAACCCAUCCUGCCACCCUUGCCCAUGCAGAAAAAGAUUUCACUACUGCCAGCCGUUCCUAUAUCUGCGCCUCCCGCAGCUGAUGCCAUGAUGUCUCUGCUUCCAACCGGCUCCCCCCUUCCCUGCUCAGGCUUGUCAGGAGAGGGAAAGGAAGGUGCUCGGAAAUUCCCUUUGAAAUCGUGCCUGUGAGGCAUGGGUUUAUCAAAGCAAUGAAGCUGUGUGCGAGCACGCAUGUGAG
rnacentral:lncRNA from 1 species